GUAACAGGCCAUUUAUUUUAAGUGUUAUUUUAAAAGACAUAUAACUACUUUAUAAAACAAAAAAAAAAAAAAGAAAAGUAAUACAUUACUAAUGUGUGUUAUUCUCAUAUCUUCAUCUGUGUGGAGCCCAUUGUAAUUCAUUCUUCAGUUUGAAGAAUAUAAGGUACAUGAAGAAAGUAUGUUCUAACACAGAAAGGUGAUUACAGAACGCUACAGUAUUGUCAUUUUUGAAAACUUCCUGGCAACCCACAGUGUGCUGUGCCAGGGAACCAGGUAGGUCCACAGCAGGUCUUCACCUCUCCCUCCAAAUCCAAUCCUCCCAGUUCCAGCCUUAGCUCAGCAGCCAAAGCUGGCUGCAGCCUCCCUUCCCCCACUGUCCCCAUCUCCAUCUCAUUGCUUUAUCCCAGCCCCCAACUCCAGCAGUCACUCACUAGGAACCCAGAGUCCUCUCUGACUGGGAAAACUAGUAGGCUAACCAGAGAUCUUCACUUCUCCCUCCAUUUCUCCAAAGUUCAAUCUGCCAGACUCAUCCUCAGUUCAAUGUAGCAGACCUUCUGCUGUAGCCUCCCUCACUUUGCGCUCCGUUUCCAGGGAACUCACUAAGCAGAUCACAGUGGAAACACCCCGCUUUCCUCCCCGCUCUGUACCCUCUCAGCCCCAUCCCAACUGCCCAACCCUGUUCCUAAGUGUCAGCUCCCAGGACCCUGUGGAACCUCCAGUGGCUACACCUAUCAGGAUGCAGGAAGAAUUUCGUACCAGGCAAUACACAGCCACCACACUCUGCUAAGAACAGAGAGGACAACAGAAACCAAAGAACAAAAUACCCACUCAACAAAGACAAAACUAGAAACCAGCACCAGUCCCAGAUGCCUAGAUGCUGCCAUAAAAAUACAGUCAGUAACAGCCAGGAUAAUAUGUCUCCACUAGAGCUUAGUAACCCUACAACAGCAGACCCUGAGUAUUGCAACAUAACUGAAACAUAAGAAAAAGGCCUUAAAAUAGCCUUUAUGAAUAUGAUAGCAGUCCUUAGAGAGGAAAUGAAUAAAAUCCCUUGCAUCUAUGACAACAAACAGUGGAAGGAAUUGAGUAAAACAGUUCAAGGUCUGAAAGUUGGUAAUAGAGUAAACAAAGAAAACCCAAGCUGAGGGAAAUCUGGAAAUGAAAAUUAGGGAAUUGGAACAGGAACCUCAGAGGGCAAGCCUUACCAAUAGAAUGCAAGAGAUGGAAAAGAGAAUCUCAGGCAUUAAAGACAUGAUGGAAGAAAUGGAUACCUCAGAUGUUAAACAGGAAAAAAAAUCCUGCUAUAAAACAUCCAGGAAAUCUGGAACACUUGAUCUAAGAAUAAUAGGAAUAGAGAAAGGAGAAGAAAUCAAGGACAAAGGCACAGAAAAUAUUUUCCAAAAAAAUCACAGAAGAAAGUUUCCCUAACAUAAAGAUGGAGAUUCUUAUGGAAGUAUAAGAGCACCAAGUAGACUGGACCAGAAAGGAACAUCCUAUUGGCACAUAAUAAUUGAAGCACUAAACCUACAGAACGAAGAAAGAAUAUUAAAAGCUGCAAGGGGAAAAGACCAAGGGAAAAAGACCAAGUAACAUAUACAAGCACACCAAUUGGAGUAAUACCUGACUUCUUAGUAGAGAUUCUCAAAGGCCUGAACAAAUGUUCUACAGACUCUAAGAUCCUGCAGAUACCUGCUCCAACAAUUAUACCUAGCAAAACUUUCAAUUGUCAUAGUUGGAGAGAAUAAUAGAACCCAUGAUAAAACCAAAUACUUAUUCCAGAUCAGCAAAUCCAAAGAGGGGAAACUUAUAUACCUCAUAGUAGCAAAAUAACAGGAGUCAACAAACAUUGUUUGUUGGUACCUCUUGUCUCAGUUCCCCAAUAAAAAAAGAGAGAGACUACCAGAAUGGAUUUGAAAUCAGGAAAAUCCAUUUGAAAACAAGAAAAUCUAUCUUGUGGCUUCAUCUAAGACACAUACCUUAAAAUCAAGGGUAGGUAUCACCCCAGAAAAAGGUUGGAAAGACAUUCUAAGCAAAUGGACCUAAGAAGCAAACUGCUGUAGCUAUUUCUAUAUCUGACAAAAUAGAGUUCAGACCAAAACUGAUUAGAGGAGAUUGGGAAGGACACUACAUAUUCAUCAAAGGAGAAAUUCACCUAGAGGACAUUCCAGUUCUUAUACAAGGGCACCCAAGUUCAAAAAAGAAACACUACUACAGCUAAAAUUGCAUACUGUCCCUCAUACACUGAUAGUGGGGAAACUUCAGUACCCCAUUGUCACCAACAGACAGGCCAUCCAGACAAAAACUAAAUAGACAAAUGCUGGAGUUAAAUGAUGUCUUAAGUCAAAUGGACCAAGUAGAUAGUCACAGAACAUUACACCUAAACACAAAAGAAUAUGCUCUUUUUUUCAGCAGCUCAUGGAACUUUUCAAAAACUGACCACAUACUCAGACACAAAGCAUGUUUUAACAAAUAUAAGAAAAUUGAAAUAACAUUCUGCAUCCUGUCUGAGCACCACAGAUUAAUACUAGAUAACACCAACAACAUCGGAAAGCUUACAAACUCAUGGAAACUGAACUGAAUGAAAUAUGGGUCUAGACAGAAAUUAAGAAAGAAAUUAAAGACUUUCUAGAAUUGAAUGCAAAUGAAAUACAGCAUACCAAAACUUAUGGAACACACUGAGGACAAUUCUAUGAGGUAAGUUCAUUGGCAUUAAGUGUCUGCAUAAAAAAUGUAGCAAUCUUAUACUAGUAACUUAAUAGCGCAUCUGAAAGCUCUAGAACAAAAAGAAGACGUCAUAUCCAAAAGAAGUAGAACAACAAGAAAUAAUGAAAAUUAGGGCUGAAAUCACUAAAAUAGAAACAGACAACAACAUGAAAAAAAUCAAUACAAAGAAUCGAUUAAACAAAGAAUUGUUUCUAUGAGAAAAUCAGUAAAAUUGACAAACUCUUAUCGAUAUUAAGGUUUUUUUGUUGAAUUUUUUUUCUCCCUCUUCGGACCAUUCAUAAAGCACUCUCUCCUCUCACUGAGCCUUUCUAAUUUAUUCCAGUAAUUAAUGAGCUCUUACUAGUAUGGAGUACCACUUUAUAACAAUGAUAGCUUAAACUAGCAUACCUUCAAUGUAGGCAGUAAUGUUGACAGUCCUUUCAUAUAUAUAUUCUUAUUGUGGGAAUGUGUUUCUGGUUGAGUGUUGAUGCGUUUUGUGUGUGUGUGUGUGUAGAAGUCAAGAUAACCAUCGAUUCCACUCUAAAGGCAUCACCUACACCUGUCAUCCAUCUAUCAAUCCAUCCAUCCAUCCAUCCGUCAUCCAUCCGUCAUCCAUCCAUCCAUCUAUCCUCCAUCCAUCCAUCCAUCCAUCCAUCCAUCCGUCAUCCAUCUACCCAUCCAUCUAUCCAUCCAUCUACCCAUCCUUUCUGAGGCAGUGUUGGUCUUUCCGGUACAAAGCCCGAGAGGCAUACACUAGCUUCCACUUUCUCAACACCAGGGAUUAUAAGUGUGUGCCACUAAGCCUAACUUUUUAAAUGUGGAUUCUUGGAAUCAAAUUAAGUUCCCCAUGCUUGCAAGGCAAAUACUUUGGCAACCAAGCUAUGCCCCCAGCCUUAAUUCUCAAAUAAGGUUAUAUAGUUGUUUAAAAUUAGUUAUUGCUUGUGGAGAUGGACAAUAUCUCAUAAAACUGCUUGCUUCUCCCCAUGAGUAAAUAUUAGAUGUAUUUAGGCAAUCUAAGAACAUUGAAAGAGGACAAGUAAUAAAGGGAGCUAAAAACCUUCCAUAACCCCCAGGCCAGGUGGUACAGUCCUGUGAUUCCAACUAAUCAGGCAUUUGAGCCAGGAGUAGACAAGCUCAUGGACUCUGUGAGUUCAAGGCCAGCCUCGGCAAUUUAGUGAGAAGGUUUCCAAAUGAAAACAAAUGAGAGGGCAAGGUGUAUUACUAUUGUAUGGGAUGGGAAAGGCCCUAGCUUCAGUCUCAAUGCUGUUGAGAAGAAAAACCAACUUAUUUUGCAUCAAUCUGGUCUGUCUCCUGUUGCUCUUUCCUCCACGUUUGCUUCUAUCUGGUAUCCAGUAACAUCCAUGUUACUUAAGAACAUGGCAAGGAUUUCAAAACUCUCCUAGCUGAACCAUUUAAGUAAUGUAGUUCAUACAUUAUCUUUUUAUAUUAUCACCAUCAUUUACACUCUUAAGAUUUCUACUUACAAUGAUUUCUGAUAUCUGAGAGAUACUCCUUUAGAUACUAUGCAUCAGACUUGUACCUUCCUGUGUACUACAAAGUGAGAACAUGGGAAAUCAUAACAGUUACUGUUUCUUCUAGGAAAGGGCUAAAUAGUAAACACAUGCUGAGGCAGGAGGAUCAAGAUUAUUUGAACAUAUGAUUUCAGUAGCAGCCUGGCCAACAUAGUAAAACCUAAUCAUAAAAAAAAAAAAAAAAAAUCCAAAAGAAAAUCUUCCUAAUGUUUAGCUGAAACCUACUCUCACAUAAUUUUAGCUUAAAUUAUAGAUCUUCUUAAUGAAUUUUUCUCCUUUUCUGUUACUUUAAAUAUUUAUUUAAAAUUUCAAUAUGAAGAAUUGUUUUUAUUUUUUCUGUUUUAUUUUUCUUCUAUUUAAAAUAGUUUUUUUUUUUUUUUUUUUUUUUUUUUUACAUGAUACAGUAUAUUCUGACUGUGGUUUCUCCUUUCUCAACUCUUCCCAGUCCCUCCCUACUUCCAUGAAAUCUGGAACCAGACCCUUUCUGUCUCUCCUUAGAAAACAAAUAGGCUUCUAAAGAAUAAUAAUAAAAUAAGACAAGAUAAAAUAAAACCAAAGAAGUAGGAUAAGACAAAUGUGUAGAGGAAAAUGAGUC
rnacentral:lncRNA from 1 species